GGUUUGUCCUGGCUCAGGAUAACCUGCCGGCAGUUAAUACAGCAGUCGAGCAUCAGAUAGAAGCUUGCUUCUCUUGUGUUAUCGGCGAGAGGGUGAGUAAACGUGAUGUAACCUACCUAUAAGCCUGGGAUAACUCGGGAAACCGGGGUAAUACUGAUAUAUUUGACCGCAUGGUCAAUAGUGAAAGCGGCUGGCGUCACUAUAAUGGUGCGCCGUUUAGCUAGUGGUAAGGUCACGCUUACAAGCACAUGCGUACCGCCUGAGAGGGUGUCGCCCGCUGGAACUGAGCCGGUCCAGACUCCUCGGGAGGCAGCAGUAGGGAAUCUCCGCAAUGGCGAAAGCCUGGCGCACAACGCGCGUGAGUGAUGAAGGUUUUCGGAUCGUAAAUCUGUUGUUAGGGAAGAACAAAUUUGUUAGUAACUGAACAAGUCUUGUCGGUACCUAUCAGGAGCCUCGGGAGGGCGACA
rnacentral:rRNA from 1 species